GGUUAAGCGACUAAGCGUACACGGUGGAUGCCCUGGCAGUCAGAGGCGAUGAAGGGCGUGCUAAUCUGCGAUAAGCGCCGGUAAGGUGAUAUGAACCGUUAUAACCGGCGAUACCCGAAUGGGGAAACCCAGUGUGAUUCGUCACACUAUCAUUAACUGAAUCCAUAGGUUAAUGAGGCGAACCGGGGGAACUGAAACAUCUAAGUACCCCGAGGAAAAGAAAUCAACCGAGAUUCCCCCAGUAGCGGCGAGCGAACGGGGAGGAGCCCAGAGCCUGAAUCAGCAUGUGUGUUAGUGGAAGCGUCUGGAAAGGCGCGCGAUACAGGGUGACAGCCCCGUACACAAAAA
rnacentral:rRNA from 1 species